AUUGAACGCUGGCGGCAGGCUUAACACAUGCAAGUCGAGCGGAGUGAUGGUGCUUGCACUAUCACUUAGCGGCGGACGGGUGAGUAAUGCUUAGGAAUCUGCCUAUUAGUGGGGGACAACAUCUCGAAAGGGAUGCCAAUACCGCAUACGUCCUACGGGAGAAAGCAGGGGAUCACUUGUGACCUUGCGCUAAUAGAUGAGCCUAAGUCGGAUUAGCUAGUUGGUGGGUAAAGGCCUACCAAGGCGACGAUCUGUAGCGGGUCUGAGAGGAUGAUCCGCCACACUGGGACUGAGACACGGCCCAGACUCCUACGGGAGGCAGCAGUGGGGAAUAUUGGACAAUGGGGGGAACCCUGAUCCAGCCAUGCCGCGUGUGUGAAGAAGGCCUUAUGGUUGUAAAGCACUUUAAGCGAGGAGGAGGCUCUUUUGGUUAAUACCCAGGAUGAGUGGACGUUACUCGCAGAAUAAGCACCGGCUAACUCUGUGCCAGCCGCCGCGGUAAUAC
rnacentral:rRNA from 1 species